GGUUGGGGGUGUUGUUAU
rnacentral:miRNA from 1 species